rnacentral:tRNA from 1 species
GGAGGGUAUAGCUCAAGUGGUAGAGCACAUGCUUAACAUGCAUGAGGUCCUGGGUUCAAUCCCCAGUACCUCCA